rnacentral:rRNA from 1 species
AUUGAACGCUGGCGGCAGGCCUAACACAUGCAAGUCGAACGGUAACAGGAAGAAGCUUGCUUCUUUGCUGACGAGUGGCGGACGGGUGAGUAAUGUCUGGGAAACUGCCUGAUGGAGGGGGAUAACUACUGGAAACGGUAGCUAAUACCGCAUAACGUCGCAAGACCAAAGAGGGGGACCUUCGGGCCUCUUGCCAUCGGAUGUGCCCAGAUGGGAUUAGCUAGUAGGUGGGGUAACGGCUCACCUAGGCGACGAUCCCUAGCUGGUCUGAGAGGAUGACCAGACACCCUGGAACUGAGACACGGUCCAGACUCCUACGGGAGGCAGCAGUGGGGAAUAUUGCACAAUGGGCGAAAGCCUGAUGCAGCCAUGCCGCGUGUAUGAAGAAGGCCUUCGGGUUGUAAAGUACUUUCAGCGGGGAGGAAGGGAGUAAAGUUAAUACCUUUGCUCAUUGACGUUACCCGCAGAAGAAGCACCGGCUAACUCCGUG